UACGAAGGGGGGCUAGCGUUGCUCGGAUUGACUGGGCGUAAAGGGCGCGUAGGCGGUUCGUACAGUCAGACGUGAAAUUCCUGGGCUCAACCUGGGGGCUGCGUUUGAUACGUGCGGGCUUGAGUUCGGAAGAGGGUCGUGGAAUUCCCAGUGUAGAGGUGAAAUUCGUAGAUAUUGGGAAGAACACCGGUGGCGAAGGCGGCGACCUGGUCCGAUACUGACGCUGAGGCGCGAAAGCGUGGGGAGCAAACAGG
rnacentral:rRNA from 1 species